rnacentral:rRNA from 1 species
AAACGGNUACACCUAAAUUUAUAUCUUAAUCCAACAUCGAGGUCGCAAUCUUUUUUAUCAAUAUGAACUCUCCAAAAAAAUUACGCUGUUAUCCCUAAAGUAACUUAAUUUUUUAAUCAUUAAAAAUGGAUCAUUUAUUCAUAAAUUAAUGUUUUAAAUUUUAAAAGUUAUUUAAAUUUUAAUAUCACCCCAAUAAAAUAUAAUUAUUUAUUAUAAUAAAAUUAAUCUAUAAAAUUAAAAUAAAUAAUUAUAUAAAGAUUUAUAGGGUCUUCUCGUCUUUUAAUUAAAUUUUAGCUUUUUGACUAAAAAAUAAAAUUUUAUUAUAAUUUUAAAUGAAACAGUUAAUACUUCGUCCAACCAUUCAUUCUAGCCUUCAAUUAAAAGACUAAUGAUUAUGCUACCUUUGCACAGUUAAAAUACUGCGGCCAUUUAAAUAUUCAGU